UACAGAGGUCCCAAGCGUUGUUCGGAUUCAUUGGGCGUAAAGGGUGCGUAGGCGGCGCGGUAAGUCGGGUGUGAAAUCUCGGGGCUUAACUCCGAAACUGCAUUCGAUACUGCCGUGCUUGAGGACUGGAGAGGAGACUGGAAUUCAUGGUGUAGCAGUGAAAUGCGUAGAGAUCAUGAGGAAGACCAGUGGCGAAGGCGGGUCUCCUGGACAGUUCCUGACACUGAGGCACGAAGGCCAGGGGAGCAAACGGG
rnacentral:rRNA from 1 species